CAAAACCUUACUACCCAAAUGAAAAAACCCCUUUCUGAACCUAAAUCUCAGUCUUCAAUCUCCGCAACUCCAUCUCCACCGUCUUCCGCUAAUCAGCACCACCACCUAUCUCUGCAAAUCCAUCUUCACUGUCUAACUCUGAACUCAAAAGUCAAAAUUCUUCUGAUGAAAUUGUGCCCUAAAUUGAAGAAAUCGUCGCCACCGAUUGAAGAAACGAUCUGAUUUCUGAAGCAAAGAAAAUCCAAGGAUAAAUGGAGGAGUAUGAUGUAGCUGCAACUGGUGAGGGUUUUAGGCCGGAAAUUAAGGCACCAGCAGCAACCAUAGAAUCCAUCUUUCAAUCUCCUUCAUCCCCUAAAACUGCUGAGGAGGCAAAAAAUACAGUAAAGCUUAGGAUCUUACAGUAAACACGCCAGAUGGGAAGCCUCCACUUAGUAGGUGUUAACUAUUUCACAGAGAAAUCCAUGGGAGCAUGUACUGGGAGUGGGACUUGGAGCUGUAUUCGUAAAUCAGUUGGUCAAAUGGGAUGCUCAGCUUCAAGUUGAUCUUCACAAGAUGCUCGACGAAGCUAAGUUUGCAAAUGAACGUCGCUACUUUGAGAUGCUGAUAUUACAGUGGGAGAAGUUAUCAGUGGGAGAAGAUAAAGAGUUGAUGAAUAUCAUUCUUGCCUGUCAUGGAGAAAAUACAGGAGAUGAAAGGGAACCUGGUACAAAAUGUUGCUGUGUGGAAGACGUUGGAUUUGUUAAAUGACAAUGCUUUUAGCCAUUUAAUGGAGACAAGGAGGCGAGUCUUGAUUAAGCUUUUAAUUGAAUCUCCUGGUCCAAGGUCUCCCGGCACAAAAGUUUCCAGGUACAAAGGUCUCCAGAACAGAGGUCUCCAGGACAGAGGCUUCGGUCUCUGUGCCUGGUUGGCCGCUGCGCCCUGUCAGGCCGAUUUGCCUGGUUGGCCGCUGCGUCCUGGCGGGCCGAUGUGCCUGGUGUGCCGUUGGCCGGGUUGGCCAAUGCGUCAGGUGGUUAGCUGGGAAAUAGAGCUGCAAUAUGUGAGCAGUUUUGUCCAGGACAGUGGACCUACUCGUGUGAGUUAAACAAGCAUCAGAGUGCAAUUUUGUACUUGGCUUCAUGGUUGUCUCCUGAAGAUUUCACUGCGAAGAUAUUGCCAACUUUAGUGAAACUAUCUGCCUCGAAUGACCGACUAUUAGAGUUGGCCUUCUGCAACAUAUCGAUCAGUAUGGAGAGUCAUUAUCUUCUCAAGUUGUAGAUGAACAAGUUUAUUCUCACGUUGCCACUGGGUUUUCUGAUACACCUGUUAUUCUUCGGGAACUGGCACUAAAGUCAAUUCUCAGCUUGGCACCCUAGCUGUCUCUGCGAACUAUUGCGGGAUCUUUGCUGAAGUAUCUUUUGAAGUUUCAAGUGGAUGAAGAAGCGGCUGUUAGGACAAACACAAUUCUGUUUGGGAACAUUGCCAGCUAUCUUAAUGAUGGGAUAAGGAGGUGGGUCUUGAUUAAGCUUUGAUUGAAUCUCCUGGUCGAAGGUCUCUCGGCACAAAGGCCUCCAGGUACAUAGGUCUCCAGAACAGAGGUCUCCAGGUACAAAGUUCUCCAGAACAGUGGUCUCCAGGACAGAGGCUUCAGUCUCUGUGCCCUGGCGGGCCGCUGCUCCCUGGCGGGCCGACGUGCCUGUUGGGCCGGGUUGGCCGAUGCAUCAGGUGGUUAGCUGCGAAAUAGAGCUGCAAUAUGUGAGCAAUUUUGUCCAGGACAGUGGACCUACUCGUGCGAGUUAAACAAGCACCAGAGUUCAAGGAUAAUGAAGGGCAAGUGCUAGUAGCCAGCCGGGGUAUUUCAUCCCCUGCAACAAUGAUCAAUUUCAAUUAAGGGCAAUCAAAACAAAUCAAGUAUAGAACCGCCAGUGAUGGAAGAAAUUCCUCAAAUGCGGAGAUAGACAUGACAAACAAGGGGAAUUAUAAGAGAAACAAGAAGAAGAGGGCAAAAUUAAUGAAAGAUAAGGCAAGGGGUUACUUGUUGUUGCAGACAUACAUGACCAGCAGCCUAAGUUCUGUAUUGUAUGAUUGUAUCGUUUGAUUGUAUUACACGAGGUGUCUGUGCUUUUCAAUGUGGUGAGCCAACAAUUCGAAGCCAAAUGUUUGAUUGGUUGUUGGUCACAUCUCUAGUCUCAUAUUUAGUAGUUGUGUCUGUUAGCAAAACUUUUCUUCGGUUUUGCUUUUCGAGAUUAAAGUUUGCAUACACUUAGGAGGUGUGAAAGUUCUCAUUCUUCUGCACAUGAUAACCGUCGCCAGAGAUCAAGGUCUCCUCGAGCUUGCAGUGGUCUUGUGACUCCAACUUCUACCAUUGUGGUGAAGGGCUUGCCAAAAGAGGCAACAGAGGAAAUGAUUCAUCGGAUCCUAAGUGGAGGCCCCUUCCCAAUAUCCGAGUGAUGCCGAAAAAGAAUACUACUUUCUGCCGUGGAAUCGCAUUCGUUGAUUUUCCGUCUGUGGUAGCGGCUCGGAAAUUGAUGGAUGAAAUUGGAGACCGCGGCCUCGAUGUC